ensembl:lncRNA
CCGGCCGGCCGGGUGGCGUGACCCGCGGCGGGCGGGGCGCCGUAGUGAGGCGGCGCGGGUAGAGCGCCGCGCUGAGCCGGGCCGUGCCGCCUGGGCGGGCUGGAGGACUCGAGGGCGGAAGGCCUGCGCCGCUCCCGGAGUGCUAAGAUGCACAAAAAUUCACAACAAGUCCCCCAAAUUCAGGGGAAUGUGACGGAGCGGGGUGGCUCUCCGGGGCCUGCAGCUUGGAUGGACCCAAAUCCUUGGGGAAGCAAGGUAGGAAGACAGUGCUUCAGUCUUGUGGAUCAGACUACAGGAUGCCUACAGCAGGUUAGACAAACUCAAGCCAGAUGUCAUUAAUAUCAAAGUACAAAGUACAAACCAGGUCUUUUCAGUGAAGUCUCCCCACUCCCUCCCUUGCAACACCAGCAAUCUUUUUAAUGGUUUCUUAAACAAUCUUGAUGUGCAAAUCUAAUGACAGGUAUGACAGGACAGAGAAAAACACCCUCUCUUUGGUCAUGACAAACCCUAAUUUUGAGUUGCAUGUAGCUCCCACAGCACACAGAGGUGGGACUCACCUUGCCUGACUGGUGAUGUUCACGGCGCAGCAACCUACACCUGCGCUAGGCCAUUAAACUUGGUGACAAUCAGAUCAGCACAUCUGGCGACAUCUCGGGGGCCAUACAUUUCGUUCUAAAGACACCCAGAGAGCGUGAAUCAUACCCUAGGUCGCAACGGCAACUGUGGGGGUGUAGACACCUUGCUGACAUAGCCAUCCUAAUUGCAGAUGUCUGAAGUUUGGGUGAACUGAACCCAACCACCACCAGUUCUCAGAUUACACUGUGGUCACGACUACACAGAGUACGGCCCAGGAUCUACAGAGCAAUCGUGGGACUUGUUUGUCCCACAGUUUAUCCCACAGUUGGGAUCAACAUUUGUUUAUUGACCUUUAUAUGGCCAUUUUUGCUUAGCUCUUUUGUCUCUUUCGUUUCUCCCCCCCACUCCAACACGCUCGCACACAUAAAUCACGUGCACACACAGAGAAAAUUAAACCUAUAGUAGACAUCAGCCCGAGGGCUGAACUAAUGUUCCUUGCAUACAUAGCCAUUAUGGAAAUAGGAAUGGAAAAUUUCAGCGAGUCACCAUCAAUAACAACAGGUUCAGACUCCAAUGUUUUAAACUUGUUGAAAGCAAGUCCGAUCAAAAAUAACCUGGAACACUUUUAGACUUGUUGGGAAUACUUGUGGGUGUGGUUGUAAUAUGUUUCGUCUGUGUGCUGGGGAGACUUCCAUUAGUUUUUAUGCUGUAAGUUUGCCAGGACAUAUUCAGCUUCAUUUGGCACAAAUUCCAUUAAAGGCAUUUGUUGUGGACAACAAAAGUGCACGAAUAUACUAUAAGAAAAUGCAUCUUUGAACUUAACAAUGCCUUAGCAGAGGCACCACUAGAUGCUAGAUGUGUCAGCUGAAAACGCUGAGGUCCAAAGGUUCUGCAGGCUUAAAUGGCUGCACCACACAUACCAGUUGCUUUGUAGUGUACAGGUCUGGAAGGGAAAUCUUACUAGAAAACGGAAGUCUGUUAGUAAGAAGACUCCGUAGUCCUUCUUUCAACCUCUCCGUGCUAUUCUGUUAGGAAUUACACAUUUUUAGAAAUGGAAAAAUAAGUGCAGUUUAGCAUCGGUGUGCACCUUGCUUUCUAAACUCCUUAAAUAAUAAUAAUAAAAAAAAAAUAAAAGGUGGAGUAAAAGGCA